GGUAAGGGGGGUGGGGGGUGGCAUCUACCUGGGCAGGGCAGGGAAGACCUCUCCCAGGAGAGGAAGUUUCAGCUGAGACUCAAAGGAUGAGAAGAAGCCAGUUCUGGCGAGGGCAGGAGCCGAACGGGCCAGGCAGCAAGCAGUAGACACAAACGCAAAGCAUCCAGUAUGUGCCAGGAACUAACAAAAAGGCGGCCAGGCUCCCUGUCCUGCGCCAGCUGCCUCUCUGGGCUGCUUGGUGGACCCCGUGACGGCCCUCCUGCCUCAGGGCGCUCCCACACUCCGGCUUGGGAAAUGACAAAUCAACAAACCAUUCUCCAGAUGUCAAGAGCAAGUCAAGGCUGGAAGUGCCCAGUGCGGUGCUGGGAAUACAACUCUCUGAUGAGUGGCCGAAAGGACCAAUAGUGAGCAAUGGGAGGAGAGAGUGGAAACACCAGAACAGAACCCUGGCAGCCAAGCCCCAGGAAGAAAGUUUGAAAACUGUAAGCCAUGCAUCCAACGCAGGCACAACAGCCUAAAGGUGGAACCACCCAGGUGUCCAUCAGCAAAUGAAUGGAUCAGAAAAUGUGGUCCAUCCUUACAACGGAAUAGUAUUCAGUCUUAGAAAAGACUGAAGCGGUGACACAAGCUACGACCUGGAUGAACCUUGAGGACAUUACGCUGAGGGAAAGAAGCCAAGUACAGAAGGCCACAUAGCAUCUCAAUAAAAAAAGGGAGGAGGGGAAGAAAAGAGAAUUGUUUCAAUGGAAGAGUCGGAUUAUGGGACUGUUAAAUAAAACCCUAUGUGUCAGAAGGCAGAUAGGAGUGACCAGCCUCCAGAAGCAUCAGGACAGAAAGGAGACAGAGAGAAGACAGAUGUUCCAAAGACUCCCACAAGGCAGCGUGGGACCGCAGUUAAGAAGGCGGACCGCCAGUUUGGGGUGAUGGAAAAGUUCUGGAGAUGGAUGGUGAAGAUAGUUGCACAACAUUGUAUAUAAUGCCAGUGAACUGUACCCUUAAAAAUGGUUAAUAUGUUAAUCAUUAUUAAAUAUUAAAUAAUAUCUAUUUAACACAAAGAUGUUUUAAAAAUUGA